CCCUGUGGUGCAAUUAUUGCUGCUAAAAGAGUGAAGAGAUGGCCGACAGGUGGGAUGUCCUUGCCAACAAACAGACCCAGUGAUGUGUCUGAGAGGGUUUUAUCCUGCACCAGCUUCCCCAAGAGCAAGCAAACACACAAAGCAACCAUCUCACAGACCACCAUUUUUACACAGCUGGGAUUUCCAAGGCAAGACUUUUCCUGUCUCAGUGCUGCCUUCUCCCUUUGCCAGCAGGAUACAACUUAGACUUGAGGUUGCAAGCAGGAACAAGAGGAUAGGUUAAGCCUUCAGAGUGAC
rnacentral:lncRNA from 1 species